UCUAUUAUCACGGAUAUAGUUUAUGAGAAAUCAAUACCACAGACUGAUGUACAAUUUAAAACUUUGAUGACAGCUGAGCAAAGGCCACUCAAGACAGAGAAUUGUGGCUGUGAGCCUAGAGAGGCUGAUGAUCUUGGGACAAGAGAGGAGGAAAUUGUCUACCAUUCAAAAAAUGCAAGGAUCCUGAGACAUGAAGUCAUUUAUCAUUGUGAUGCUAGAAAUGCUACUCUAAACUUUUCAGCUUCUCAAAUUUAAUAAGCAGUUGUCUUUUUUUUAAACAAUGAAAAACAUUUUUAUUGUUUUGUAUAUUACACAAGUAAUGCAGGGAUACAUUCUCAUUGUAAAAAUUCAUACACUGAACUAUCUAGAGUGCAAUGUGAGUCUCCUUUCCCUCUCACCUCUUCAUUCUCAUCUUA